rnacentral:rRNA from 1 species
AGCGAACGCUGGCGGCAGGCCUAACACAUGCAAGUCGAACGGAUCCUUCGGGAUUAGUGGCGGACGGGUGAGUAACACGUGGGAACGUGCCCUUUGAUUCGGAACAACUCAGAGAAACUUGAGCUAAUACCGGAUGUGCCCUUCGGGGGAAAGAUUUAUCGCCAUUGGAGCGGCCCGCGUCUGAUUAGCUAGUUGGUGAGGUAAAGGCUCACCAUGGCGACGAUCAGUAGCUGGUCUGAGAGGAUGAUCAGCCCCAUUGGGACUGAGACACGGCCCAAACUCCUACGGGAGGCAGCAGUGGGGAAUCUUGCGCAAUGGGCGAAAGCCUGACGCAGCCAUGCCGCGUGAAUGAUGAAGGUCUUAGGAUUGUAAAAUUCUUUCACCGGGGACGAUAAUGACGGUACCCGGAGAAGAAGCCCCGGCUAACUUCGUGCCAGCCGCCGCAGUAACAC